rnacentral:lncRNA from 1 species
GGAGGCUGUUGGCCACUCGUGGUCCUACACAUGAUGGAGAUGUGAGUUUCUGUUGACCUGGUUUCCAGCCCUGGCUCUGUGACGGAUGGAUGACACUGUACGAAUUCCAACCAACAAUCUUGCAAGUAAAAUUUGGAUCCAUUCCCUUAUCAAGCUGUGGACUGCUUCUUCCCCCAGAAUGGAGUAGAGACUUGCCUUACAUCACAGGAGAAUUCACAGUGUCAGCAGGAAGUGAAACAAACAUACCCGACUUUCUUGUCUGUGCCUUACGAUUGUGUCAGGCAGCUGAACACAGUCAUUUUGGUGUGAAACCAGCAGAAGAUUUAGAGGUAGAAUUUUGUGAUUCAUCAGUCGCAUAUAACUUAAUAUUACCAAGGCUGGUUGGCCGCAGCUCCAGGUGAGUCAGUGAGCAAGCGACUCUGUUGAGUGACAGUCACUGAACCAAAGAGAAAAUGGGAUAAU